rnacentral:rRNA from 1 species
UAAGGUUGACCUCGGAUCAGGUAGGAAUACCC